rnacentral:misc_RNA from 1 species
CGCACAUUGCGCCCCUUGGUAUUCCAUGGGGCAUGCCUGUUCGAGCGUCAUCUACAACGUCAAGCUUGCUUGGUGUUGGGUGUUUGUCCUGCCCAUUGCGCGUGGACUCGCCCCAAACAAAUUGGCAGCGGUCUUGCCUCCUCUUGCGCAGCACAUUGCGUUUGCCGAGUUGAGGACAGCCCACGUCCACAAGGUUACCACACCGUCUUUGACCUCGGAUCAGGUAGGGAUACCCGCUGAACUUAA